AUUUUUAUAAUAAUUUAACAUCUGAUGACGACGAUGACAAGGAGGAGAUCCGGCAACAACGACGACGGCGAAAAGAUUCGAUGAUAAUGAGAAAAUCCGACGAGGAGUUGAGAGGGAAGAUAAAAAUAGAAUUAGAAUUAGAAUUUGGAGAGAAAAAAUUAUGAAAUAUGUAUAUGAUUAAUAUUAAAAAAUUAUAUAAUAUUUU
rnacentral:lncRNA from 1 species